rnacentral:rRNA from 1 species
GGGUUGUGAGGUUAAGCGACUAAGCGUACACGGUGGAUGCCCUGGCAGUCAGAGGCGAUGAAGGGCGUGCUAAUCUGCGAUAAGCGCCGGUAAGGUGAUAUGAACCGUUAUAACCGGCGAUACCCGAAUGGGGAAACCCAGUGUGAUUCGUCACACUAUCAUUAACUGAAUCCAUAGGUUAAUGAGGCGAACCGGGGGAACUGAAACAUCUAAGUACCCCGAGGAAAAGAAAUCAACCGAGAUUCCCCCAGUAGCGGCGAGCGAACGGGGAGGAGCCCAGAGCCUGAAUCAGCAUGU